rnacentral:miRNA from 1 species
UCUUCACUGGCAAGCUUUAUGU